AGAGUACACACAAGCUACUUGCCUAGAUGAUGAUCAGCUUGAAGGUCGAGUAGCUUGAAUGAUGGUUAAGGUGUCUUGGAUGAUCAAGCUUCGGCCAAGACUAAUGUAUUCUUCUUGUUUCCAAAUGUUCUUCAAGGUUGCAUCCUCAGCUACAAGCUCUUCAGGUUCAGGUUCAUGCUUCCAGUCCUUGGUGCUUUCCAUGAUCAUAUCAUCCCCUCCCACUUCAAAAAGAUUUGUCCUCAAAUCUGUGUUACCUGCAAUAGAAGGGACCAAGUCAGUAACAUCAGAGUUUAUAAUCAGAUUACACUUACCUUGCAAGCCUCUUUGAUAGGCAUUGUCGCUGACUGGUCCUUGCGAGCCUCUUUGAUCGGCAUUGUCGCUGACUGUUUCUAUUAGGUAGAAGGGACUGAUCCAUUUGGCUUUCCUCACUCCUGAGGCAUUACUUAAACCUGAUACAUUGAAACAAGACAAGUUAACACAAGCAAAAUCAUCAUAGAGUAAGAGUCUUAUCCCAAAGUUGUCUUUUCUCGGUUUUGGCUUGUAUGCUGCAUCUGGAGGUGCUUCUUUGAUGAGGAUGAAGCAAGUGACGUCCUGAUGUCUCUCCUGGCUUAGAUCAGGCGGCUUGAAACGUUUGUCUUCCUCACGCUUGUUCUUUCUCUUUGCAUUCUUCAAAGCUUCCAUAUAAUCUGCACAUGACUCUUUUGGCAAAAACAAGUGCAUCAUAUCUGUGUAAUCAAUAAAAGAACUCUUGAAAACAUGAUUAGUUACCUUAGCAUGCUCACCUGGUCGCCAUAGAUAGGAUUGAGAUGUUCUACACUCAGAAAAGUUCAGACAAAGCAAACACAGAAUCACCCGUCUUGUAGAACCCAUAACUCUUUCAUUUGAGAAGCUUUGGACAUGAUUCCAGUUCGACGUGAGACCCUGAUGAGUGUAGUUUCCAUUGCAGUUGAGUUUGUUGCUUAAUUCCUUCUGGUUGCUGAGAUAUGAUCCUCGGACUGCUCCUAUGUCAGAGUUGGCGGCUAGACAGCUUCCAAGAUUUGAUUGUUGCAUCUCCAACUUAGCCAAGGAUCCAUUCUUGAUACUCUGAUCAUUACUAUAGCCUCUCCUUUCGAAAAGUAUAGCACUCAAAACUGUUUGACCUGUACCAAUAGAAAGCAAAUCAGGUUUCAUGCGUUUCUUUGAAUCUAGAUAAUUACCUCGGGUUGGUUUAUUUGGAGAUUGAUGUAGACUGAGUCCAUCUGGUGGUUUCUCCUUGAUUUGAGAAGAAAACAUGAGUUCUCCUCCUAUUCCAGUAAUCACUUCACCAUUUAAUCUAGUGAAAUCUCCAUCUCCACUCUUGGUUUGACAAUCUCUGAAAUGGUAUUGAAGCUUUUGCAAAUCUGGUGGCUUCCACACCUUGACAUGAUCAAGAAGCAAGGCAUUUUGAUCAGCUUCCAACUCUUUAUUACCCCAACUGGUUCUACCACGAGCAGAGCACUCUCCAAGGAUGAUAAGUAUGCUGGAAUAUGCUCCAGGUUUCCACAAGUAGAACUGUAACCUUCCACCCCAAUCUGAUAUAAGCAGCUCACAGAAUUUGGCUAAACCGAUAUGUUUUGCGGAAUUGACAAUAUCUUGAUGAUCAGGAGGCCAUUUGCUGCGUUUUCUGGUUUGUUGGAUCCAGGAAAGAGUGGGUAACAUUCUCCAAUUGGUUUCGUAGUGAAACUCUUGCUGAGCUGAGACGUGCAUCCCUUUAGCUUCAGAGGGUAAAAGAUCACCAAAAACAAUUGUUGUUGCUGCCGAUUUCUUCUCAAUCACUAUGGGAUUGUUCCUGUGAUUCCACAACUCUCCUCCAGGCUCAAAUACAACAUGUUCCAUGCCCAGUUCGUGUCUUGAAAGCUCUACUGCUCUGGUCUUGUUCCAGACAAAGGGAUUGAACAGAAAAAUACCCAAGAAUGUCUUUUGGAAAUCACACGGGUCAAAGACAAUCAGUUGUCUCUUUUUGCAAGCUGUCUGUGGUUCCCUGGGUGUCUCUUCUGGUACUAUGGCUUGUUUGAAAGGAACCAUGACGUUCUGAACAGGCUGCUCAUCUUUCUGAAUGGCAGCUGAUGAUUCUUUGGCUUGAUCUCCUUGAAUAGAUGUAGCUGAUACCGGCUCUGCUGAAUUAAGUUCUGAGACUGAAGUGAUUAACUCCUGGUUCUGUUCUUCUAAGGAUGGACGUGUAGUGUGGGUCUCCCUGAAUUGUUUCUCCACAUCCAUAAUCACUUGAGACAGCUUCUUUAUGUCCUCCUCACAGAACCAGCUCGUUGUCUUGCUAGGUAAACCAAUAACACCGGUUGAUCUUGAUCUGAUCCUGCCUUGUUGUUCCUGGACUGAGUUUGCAGAGCAUGGCUUUGUUUCAGACUGUUUUCGAAGCACUUCCUUGUGGUACUGUCUUGGAACAUACUUAUGACGCAUCAAAGCCCUUAAUUUAAGCCAGGUUGCAACAGGUUCUUUUCCAUAGUGUCUCCUAGACGACACCAGUUGCUUCCACCAGCUUGAAGCAUAACCACAAAACUCAGCAGUGGUUAAUUGAACCUUCUUUACUUCAGCAUAGCUUUGAUAGUCGAAAAUCAACUCCAUCUUCUCUUCCCAUUCCACAUAUGCAGCAGGAUCAGCGUUGCCAUGGAAAGGAGGGAUUUUUAGCUUUUGAUCAGCAAAUUUAUCUUUGUGACUGCCUCUGCCUUCAUGCUCACGUCUUUGUCUCCUCUCGCUGCGCCUAGACUCAUGAUUCUGACCAGUAGCUCGUGGGCGUUCCUGUCUAACCUCCUGUCGAAGCUCUUCCAUCUUAGCCUUCAUCAUCUUGCCCAUGGUUUGAUUUAGAUGAUUGGUCAUGGCUUUAAUCAAUAGCUUUUCUUCCUUGGUGAAUUCUCCUUUUUGAUCUCCUGCCAUGGUACCUGAUUCAAGAGAAAGACUAAGGCAGUAAGUAGUUCCAACAAAUCAGAUCACAAAAAUAUUGGAUUUAGACAACAAUCAGACAGAUCAGAUCGUGAACACAAAUCAAAAACAAUCAGGUUGAUAAUCAGGAACAGUUUGAUAAUCAGAAACAAACAGAAGCAACAGAAAGAAACGAUCAAUCAUAAACCAAACAGAAACUAAUCAAUAAACUUCAAUCGACAGAUCCAAAACAGAUUCAAAUUUAACACAAAUCAGAAACAGAUCAAGCAAACAAAUCAGUGGCUUUCUGAUCAAGGAUGUGAAGAGGCUGAAACCCAAAACGUGAUCAAAGUAUUUAGUACGAUCAGGUCUCAACAACAAACACACAAAUCGUCUUCUACAAACACCAAACAGGUUCAGAUUAAAACAAAUCAGUAACUUUCUCACAAAGAAUCCGAACAGUCUAGUUUUAGAAACAAGAUCAAUGAACUUUAUUUCGAUAGAUUUCUACACAAGAAACACAGAUCGAUCAAAAUCACAACAGAAUAUGAAGAGAUAAAAUCAAAAACAGAUAGAAAUCAAACACUUCCCUUCCAGAGUUGCUCUGAUACCACUUAAUGAGAUCCUAGGAUGAUGCUCUGGAACAGAUGGGAUAAUCCUUGCAGAAACGAAUCAAAAGACUCAAGUUUCUCAAGGUAUGUGGAUCGAAUGGUGACACAAGAGGCUGCGGAAAGGCUCCUUGAUACUCCUAGGCAAUAGAUUGGAUAUGACACACCAAACUAGAGCCCUUAGUCUCUGGAUAUUACACACCAGAAGUUGGAUAUUACACACCAACACUCAAUCAACUCGACAAGCAAGAAGAAAAGAGAAAACAAAGGUUUUUGAUAAAAAGAUGGAUGCUGUUACAAGGGGCCACGACCAGAAUAUAAAGGAGAAGCCUUGUACAUGCACAAGGUCUCGAAAAUACAAGGAAAAUAAAGACAAGGCUCCCUUGGAAACACAACAAAGACUAGAGUUUUCGAAAAUAAAAACAUAGCAUAAAAACUUAGAUAAAAUUAUAUAACAUAAGGUCUUCAUGUGGACAGACCAAGAUCAAUCAUCUAGGAGAUAGGAGAAGUAACUUGUGGCCUCAUUAAAAACCUUGAUUGGAAAACCCAGUGGGACAAAACCAAUCAAGGGAAAAAGAGUACACACAAGCUACUUGCCUAGAUGAUGAUCAGCUUGAAGGUCGAGUAGCUUGAAUGAUGGUUAAGGUGUCUUGGAUGAUCAAGCUUCGGCCAAGACUAAUGUAUUCUUCUUGUUUCCAAAUGUUCUUCAAGGUUGCAUCCUCAGCUACAAGCUCUUCAGGUUCAGGUUCAUGCUUCCAGUCCUUGGUGCUUUCCAUGAUCAUAUCAUCCCCUCCCACUUCAAAAAGAUUUGUCCUCAAAUCUGUGUUACCUGCAAUAGAAGGGACCAAGUCAGUAACAUCAGAGUUUAUA
rnacentral:lncRNA from 1 species